rnacentral:rRNA from 1 species
CAGCAGGUCUCCAAGGUGAAUAGCCUUUGGUCUAUAGAAGAAUGUAGAUAAGGGAAGUCGGCAAAGCUGAUCCGUAACUUUGGGAUAAGGAUUGGCUCUGAAGACUGAGCUGGUCGGGCUUUGGUCUAAUGCAAGUUAUGCAUUGUCAUCAAGACUGGAUCUAGUGUUGUUAAAUUUUUGGAGCAAAGAUGUUAAUCUGUUACAUUAAAUGUGUGCUUGUUUAAGAACAAAAAGUUUAUGUUACAAAAGUGUAACAACUUUUGUAUACAUGACUUUUUUUUACCAACACACUAUUUUGAUGUACAGAUUGUCUUUGUUUUCGAUUUUUCAAUCAUCUAAUUCUGGACUUGUAUCUUUGCUAACCUGUAGAUAGCCUAAGCUAGACUUUUACAUUGUUACAAAAUGUGUGUAAUUAUGAUUAGGGUAAAACUUAAUUGUAAUGUAACACUUUUGGCACAAUAUAAGAUGUUGUUUCGGCCAGCAAAAAACAGUUGAAUCAGAACUGGCACGGACUUGGGGAAUCCGACUGUCUAAUUAAAACAAAGCAUUGCGAUGGCCGACAAUCGGUGUUGACGCAAUGUGAUUUCUG